rnacentral:lncRNA from 1 species
CCAGCUGCUCAACGCGAUUUCCCUUCGCGCUUCUCCGCACCGGGAUCCCCAGUCCCUCAGGUUCCGACAGACCCUCCUGUCAGGCCCAUUCUCCGGGCCCCCUCAGUUGCAGUGUUAAGAUCAACAGUGUUAAGAUUAAAGCCUUGUGAUGUGCUAGCCACUACGCUGAGGAUAUGCCGUGUACUAAAAUUCCUCAGGACUCCUCACAGCUGCCCUGUAAGGAAGCGGCCAUGGCCGGGUUCUAGCGAUGCGAGGCCGAGGCUCGGGGCGCUGAGUAGCCUAGCGCGUCGCCGAGGAGAGCUGGCACGUGAACCCCUUGUCGUUUGCCGUCAGAGGUGUUAUGUGGUGGCCCUCAUUCUCCAUGCAUGGAGCAGACUCUAGGAUCUGCAGUUACUGUAUGAUGAGCCCUUCUGAGUAUUUUGCUUGGGUGGACAGUUUAUGUGUCAGGUAUGUGUAUUUAUAAUUAAAAUCAAAUAUUAUUACAUAGGCUUUGCACCUGGCGAGGUAACAUUGAGAGUAGUUAAUCUCUAGACUGGAAUCCAUCUGGAAGACCACUCAAUAACUUGUGAUUAGCUGGACCUGGUGAUGCAAGCCUGGAGUCCCAGUUACCCGGAGGCUGAGGUGGGAAUAUCGCUUGAGACCAGGAGUUUGAGGCUACAGUGAGCUGUGAUUGUACCACUGCACUCCAGCCUGGGUGACAGUGCAAGACCUCAUCUCUUAAAAAAAACAAACAACUCAAAAAACCUCAUCAUUGAGCACCUAUGAUGUGCCAGCAACUGUACUCAGUGGUGGGGACUUGACGACAAACAAACCAGGGAUGGGAUCCUUGAGCAGUCACCAUCUGACAAGUGACUGGGAAAGAUGAAUAAUGCCCUUCACCAAGAUUCUUCUCUGAUCCACAAAUUCAAUUACCAAUUUAUUUGUUCACUGCUCUUAAACUUAAAUAUUUUUUAGUAGGUAAUAAAGACAUGUUUAAACACUCUUAA